UACGAAGGGUGCUAGCGUUGUUCGGAAUUACUGGGCGUAAAGCGUACGUAGGCGGCUUUGUAAGUCGAGUGUGAAAGCCCCAAGCUCAACUUGGGAAUUGCAAUCGAAACUGCUUGGCUUGAGUUUGGUGGGGGAUGGUGGAAUUCCCGGUGUAGCAGUGAAAUGCGUAGAUAUCGGGAGGAACAUCAGUGGCGAAGGCGGCUGUCUGGCCCAAUACUGACACUCAGGUGCGACAGCGUGGGGAGCAAACAGG
rnacentral:rRNA from 1 species